rnacentral:lncRNA from 1 species
GGCCACAAAACGCGUGUUAGUGAACGACGGUGAAGCCGCGACGCUUGCGUGCUCCGCCUCUGGAAAUCCGACUCCGAAUAUUACCUGGACUCGAGCUUCUGAUAAUACCAGUGAGAUCUGGCGCGGAGUGGGAGAGGCGAGACUAGUCUUGAAGGAGGCGAGGCGAGCGGACACCGGUUUGUAUCUGUGUCACGCCUCCAGCCCAGUCGCCGCCGCCGCCCCUGUCAGAGCCGCCCUCGUUGUCUCGCAGCCCCCGACAUCCGCCAGUGACGUCACCAAUGGCACGCAGGUCGACAGGUGGUGGUCAGCUGUUGGUGACAAGGGCCAGCUGGACUGUCGAGUGCACGCCUCUCCUUCGCCUUCGUUUAAGUGGACUGUUGAUGGCGAUCGAGUGAUUUACACUGAUCGGAAAUACUCCAUAAGUUCGCCUAAGCUGACCGACGGAGUAGCAGAGUGGUCCUCGGUGCUUCGAAUUCGUGACGUCACGGAGAAGGACUAUACCAACUACACUUGCAUCAGUCGCAACUCCUACGGUUCCUUCGUGGUGCACUUCUCCCUCCUCCCCCCCCCCCCCCCUGCAACGCCCGAGGAC